CCUACGGGAGGCAGCAGUGAGGAAUCUUGGUCAAUGGACGGAAGUCUGAACCAGCCAUGCCGCGUGCCGGAAGACGGCUCUAUGAGUUGUAAACUGCUUUUGUACAAGGGUAAACCUGAAUACUUGUAUCCAGCUGAAAGUACUGUACUAAUAAUGUUCGGCUAACGCCGUUCCAGCAGCCGCGGUAAUACUGAGGAGCCAAGCGUUAUCCGGAAUUUUUGGGUGUAAAGGGCGUGCAGCCUGGAAGACAAGUCAGAUGUGAAAUCCCGCGGCUCAACCGGGGAACUGCAUUUGAAACUGUGUUUCUUGAGUACCGGAGAGGUCAUCGGAAUUCCUUGUGUAGCGGUGAAAUGCGUAGAUAUAAGGAAGAACACCAGUGGCGAAGGCGGAUGACUGGACGGCAACUGACGGUGAGGCGCGAAAGCGUGGGGAGCAAACAGGAUUAGAUACCCUGGUAGUC
rnacentral:rRNA from 1 species